rnacentral:misc_RNA from 1 species
GUGAGAACGCAGCGAAAUGCGAUAAGUAAUGUGAAUUGCAGAAUUCAGUGAAUCAUCGAAUCUUUGAACGCACAUUGCGCCCGCCAGUAUUCUGGCGGGCAUGCCUGUUCGAGCGUCAUUACAACCCUCAGGCCCCCGGGCCUGGCGUUGGGGAUCGGCGGAGCCCCCCGUGGGCACACGCCGUCCCCCAAAUGCAGUGGCGGUCCCGCCGCAGCUUCCAUCGCGUAGUAGCUAACACCUCGCGACUGGAGAGCGGCGCGGCCACGCCGUAAAACACCCAACUCUUCUGAAGUUGACCUCGAAUCAGGUAGGAAUACCCGCUGAACUUAAGCAUAUCAAUAAGCGGAGGA